rnacentral:rRNA from 1 species
UACAGAGGUCUCAAGCGUUUGUUCGGAUUCAUUGGGCGUAAAGGGUGCGUAGGCGGCGCGGUAAGUCGGGUGUGAAAUCUCGGAGCUUAACUCCGAAACUGCAUUCGAUACUGCCGUGCUUGAGGACUGGAGAGGAGACUGGAAUUUACGGUGUAGCGGUGAAAUGCGUAGAUAUCGUAAGGAAGACCAGUGGCGAAGGCGGUGUUCUGGGCCUGUACUGACGCUGAGGCGCGAAAGCGUGGGGAGCGAACAGG